rnacentral:rRNA from 1 species
CCUGGGGCUGAAGCAGGUCCCAAGGGUUGGUCUGUUCGCCCAUUAAAGCGGUACGUGAGCUGGGUUCAGAACGUCGUAAGACAGUUCGGUCUCUAUCUGCCGUGGGCGCAGGAGGAUUGAAGGGGAGCUAACCCUAGUACGAGAGGACCGGGUUGGACGAACCUCUAGUGUACCAGUUAUCCCGCCAGGGGUAAUCGCUGGGUAGCUAUGUUCGGAAGGGAUAACCGCUGAAAGCAUCUAAGUGGGAAGCCCACCUCAAGAUUAGUCCUCCCUCUUGAUGGAAACAUCAGGACUAAAGACUCCAGGUAGACCACCUGGUUGAUAGGCUCCGUGUGUAAGGCCCGUAAGGGUCUAAGCUGAGGAGUACUAAUCAGUCGUGAGGCUUGUCCAUAUU